UACGGGGGGAGCAAGCGUUGUUCGGAUUUACUGGGCGUAAAGGGCGCGUAGGCGGCCAGCACAAGUCAGUUGUGAAAUCUCCGAGCUUAACUCGGAACGGUCAACUGAUACUGUGCGGCUAGAGUGCGGAAGGGGCAACUGGAAUUCUUGGUGUAGCGGUGAAAUGCGUAGAUAUCAAGAGGAACACCUGCGGCGAAGGCGGGUUGCUGGGCCGACACUGACGCUGAGGCGCGGAAAGCCAGGGGAGCGAAACGGG
rnacentral:rRNA from 1 species